rnacentral:lncRNA from 1 species
GUGCCUCCGCGACAAGUCGCAGCUGGCCGUUACCGCCUCCACCGUCCAUAAAUGCCGAGUUGUUGCCGUCGUCUGUUCUUUUCCCCAUCCGCAAGAACAGAGCAGAGCAGAGUCCGCUUCGCGCCCAAUUUCUUGAACACCUCAGCCUCCCAUUUCGAUUCCUUGCGUCCAUAGCUCCACCACUAUCCCAUCUACGCUCUACGCCCUUCAAUCCCGCAGCUCCGCGACGGCAAGCUCAUCCUUACUAUUCUUUGCAUCCGCCGGCCACCGUGAGCCACCCCAUUGUGAGCGCUUGGGUGCUACCCCUCUCUGCUUGAGCUUUUGGUCCAGGACACUUUCCUUGAUCCUGUAGAAGCCGAUCUUGUAGAAGCCGUAGAGCAAGCCCUUGACUGCCGUUGCCGUCGAGCACCCUGUACAGCCCACCGCCCUUGUCAGCAACACCUCCGGUCGAUGCGCAAGACCCUAGGGAGUCCGUCCAGCUAGUCCUCAUCACCGGCGGCGAGUUGCCGGCGUUACCCGCCGGGGGCACCCGCGGUCAAGGGCGGGCAGCUGUGCCUUGACUCGGGUCCCACUUGUCAGUGGUUGUGGGUAGGUAGCGGGUCCCACUUGUCAGUGGUCGUGGGUAGGUAGCGGGUGAGUAGGUUUAGUUUCCCCGAGGGGUUUUCGGGUUAUAAAUGGUUUAGGUGUUUUAGAAAUUAGUUUUAAAUCUAGUUUUCAUAUUUAAUUCUUUAUAAUUUAUAGAAAUAUCCAAAAAUAGUGAAACAAAUUUUGUUGGGUUUGUUUUAUUAUCCUUUAUGCAUUAAAAAUUCUUAAACUCUAGGAAAAGAUAAUAAAAAUUAGGUAUUUAUUUAGUGCCUUUAUUUAAGGUAUUUAAAUAAAUACUUAGCCUUUAUAAAAUGUAUAAAAUUUUGAAUAAUAUUUUAUUAUUCAAAAAUGCUUAUUAAACCAUAGAAUUAUGUUUUGAGAUUAGAAAUUAUUUAUAAUGUUUUUCUAAAUAAAAAGAAAGACUUAAGUUAGGCUAGUUAAGAAAUUAAUUUGUGGGUUAAUCUUUUCUGGGUAGUUUAGUGUUGGCUUGCAACUUUAUCAUGAAGAUAAG